rnacentral:rRNA from 1 species
GGUAAGUCGGGACCUAAGCCGAGGCACAGACGCAUAGGCGAUGGACAACAGGUUGAAAUUCCUGUACCGGAUGGAGUCAUUUGAGCAAUGGAGUGACGCAGGAGGGCACAUGAUCGCGCGACUGGAAGAGCGCGUCCAAGUGCGUAUGUUGAAUCGGAGGCAAAUCCCCGAUUCUGAAAGCAGAGACAUGAUGGGGAGUUAUAAGCGAUUAUGACGAACUCAUGGAUCCCACACUGCCAAGAAAAACUUCUAGCGAGACGACAUCCGCCCGUACCGUAAACCGACACAGGUAGGCGGGGAGAGAAUCCUAAGGUGCGCGGGAAAACCCUCGUUAAGGAACUCGGCAAAUUGCAUCCGUAACUUCGGGAGAAGGAUGGCCCUGAGUAGGCGAAGUGCAGAAACGCACGGAACAGAAAAGGGUGGCAGAAAAGAGGCCCAAGCAACUGUUUACCAAAAACACAGGUGCCUGCGAAAGCGAAAGCUGAAGUAUAGGUGCUGACGCCUGCCCGGUGCUGGAAGGUUAAGGAGAGAGGUUAGCGCAAGCGAAGCUUUGAACUGAAGCCCCAGUGAACGGCGGCCGUAACUAUAACGGUCCUAAGGUAGCGAAAUUCCUUGUCGGGUAAGUUCCGACCCGCAUGAAAGGCGUAAUGAUUUGGGCGCUGUCUCAACGAGGGGCCCGGUGAAAUUGAAAUACCUGUGAAGAUGCAGGUUACCCGCGACUGGACAGAAAGACCCCAUGGAGCUUUACUGCAGCUUGAGAUUGAAUCCCGGUGGCAGACGCACAGGAUAGGUGGGAGGCUUUGAGAUAGUGACUUUGGUUGCUAUGGAGCCGACGUUGGGAUACCACCCUUCUGUUGCUGGGAUUCUAACGCGAAGAUUAACAACCUUGCGGACCAUCUCAGGUAGGCGGUUUGACUGGGGCGGUCGCCUCCGAAAGAGUAACGGAGGCGCCCAAAGGUUCCCUCAGGCCGGACAGAAACCGGCCGAAGAGUGCAAAGGCAGAAGGGAGCUUGACUGCGAGACAGACAAGUCGAGCAGAGACGAAAGUCGGGCUUAGUGAUCCGGUGGUACUGCGUGGAAAGGCCAUCGCUCAACGGAUAAAAGCUACCCUGGGGAUAACAGGCUAAUCUCUCCCAAGAGUUCAUAUCGACGGGGAGGUUUGGCACCUCGAUGUCGGCUCAUCACAUCCUGGGGCUGGAGUAGGUCCCAAGGGUUGGGCUGUUCGCCCAUUAAAGUGGUACGCGAGCUGGGUUCAAAACGUCGUGAGACAGUUUGGUUCAUAUCCAUCGCGGGCGCAAGAAGUUUGAGGGAGGCUGCUCCUAGUACGAGAGGACCGGAGUGGACGGAUCAACGGUGUACCAGUUGUCACGCCAGUGGCACGGCUGGAAAGCCGCAUCCGGAAAGGAUAAACGCUGAAAGCAUCUAAGCGUGAAGCCCGUCCCAAGAUGAGACUUCUCAUCAGCAAUGAGUAAGACCCCUUAAAGACGAUGAGGUUGAUAGGCUGUGAGUGGAAGAGCCGCGAGGCUUGGAGCGACGCAGUACUAAUAGGUCGAGGUCUUAACUUA